AUCACGGAGAGUUUGAUCCUGGCUCAGAACGAACGCUGGCGGCGCGUCUUAAGCAUGCAAGUCGAGCGGGAUUGGGGAGCUUGCUCCCCAUGAGAGCGGCGGACUGG
rnacentral:rRNA from 1 species